CCUUUGUACACACCGCCCGUCGCUACUACCGAUUGAAUGGCUCAGUGAGGCGUUCGGACUGGCCCAGAGAGGUGGGCAACUACCACUCAGGGCCGGAAACUUGGUCAAACUUGGUCAUUUAGAGG
rnacentral:rRNA from 1 species